rnacentral:lncRNA from 1 species
GUUCGGCUGCUGCUCCAACCCUCCCACUCGAUUGGGCUCUUGAGGAUCGAAAAAAAUAGAGGAAAAAUUCGGGGGAAAUAUGGGAAAAGUCCACGCAAACAAGGAAAGAGGGGCAAGACCUUUUCACUGAUCUUUUAUUUUUUUUUCACUUCUUUGCCUUUUCACUUCAUUCUCUUUUUUGGAGAUCUGUGCGGAAGGAGGGCACCUAAGGGACAUCGGAGGGGUUUUUUAGGUUCUGGUUGGGAUUUUUUCUCAAGCAUACGUGAUUUUGUGCUAGUUGUGGCGGUUUUAAGAGCUUAAUCUGAUAUUUUGUAGGGUUUGAGAAUUUUUGAUCAGAAGGAUUCUUCUUUGGCUCCAAAAAAAUUCGUCAAUUUCAUAAUGGGUUUGGGACGGAUUCAGAUAGUAAGAUUUUAAACGGAUUCGGAUACGGAUCGAGCAAAUUUUGCGGGUAUCCUACCCGUUGACGUCUCCUUAUCAAACAAAGCAUGGAGAAGUCUCGGCGCAGUUUAUAGUCUCCGUCUCCCGAACAAGCCAGAGAGAAAGAACGGAAAAGAAGCCUAGGAGUAAUGGCAGCGGCACUCUCCGAGACCUGGAAAGCGAUCGAUGUUUCGGAGAGGUAAUCGACUCGUUAUUUCACUUCAAUUCCGUGAUUUCGAUUCUCCUUUUUCUCUCUCUUUUGAUUGUUGUUGCGGAAUUAGUUCCUCCUCGAUCUUCCUAUUCCGUUCUCUUUCCAGCAAUUGACGAGCGUUGACGUGUACCUUUUGAAGGUUGUAGGUUUCUUUAUCCUUUAAAGACAAAAUUGUUUGCUAUAGGUUUGGUGUUGGAAGGAAUUAUGAUUGUGUUAG